rnacentral:snoRNA from 1 species
AGCACUUGUUCAGUUUUUGUCUGUUGCUGUAGACAAAAAACCUGGAACCUAGUGCUUAGAAAGAACCCUUCUUUUGCAACCCACAGCUGAUGAACAUAUUAGUUGUGUUACUUAUGUGAAGGGACAAC